UUGAACGCUAGCGGCAGGCUUAACACAUGCAAGUCGAGGGGUAACAGGGAUUGCUUGCAAUCCGCUGACGACCGGCGCACGGGUGCGUAACGCGUAUGCAACCUACCUUCUACAGGGGGAUAGUCAAUAGAAAUGUUGAAUAAUACCCCAUACGAUCUUUGAAUAGCAUUAUUUAAAGAAGAAAGCUCCGGCGGUAGAAGAUGGGCAUGCGUCCUAUUAGUUAGUUGGUAAGGUAACGGCUUACCAAGACUUCGAUAGGUAGGGGUCCUGAGAGGGAGACCCCCCACACUGGUACUGAGACACGGACCAGACUCCUACGGGAGGCAGCAGUGAGGAAUAUUGGACAAUGGAGGCAACUCUGAUCCAGCCAUGCCGCGUGCAGGAAGACUGCCCUAUGGGUUGUAAACUGCUUUUAUACAGGAAGAAAUAUACCUACGUGUAGGUAUUUGACGGUACUGUACGAAUAAGGAUCGGCUAACUCCGUGCCAGCAGCCGCGGUAAUACGGAGGAUCCAAGCGUUAUCCGGAAUCAUUGGGUUUAAAGGGUCCGUAGGCGGUCUUUUAAGUCAGAGGUGAAAUCCUACAGCUCAACUGUAGAAUUGCCUUUGAUACUGAAAGACUUGAGUUAUUGUGAAGUAGUUAGAAUGUGUGGUGUAGCGGUGAAAUGCAUAGAGAUCACACAGAAUACCGAUUGCGAAGGCAGAUUACUAACAAUAUACUGACGCUGAGGGACGAAAGCGUGGGUAGCGAACAGGAUUAGAUACCCUGGUAGUCCACGCCGUAAACGAUGGAUACUAGCUGUUCGACCAACAUUGGUUGGUUGAGUGGCUAAGCGAAAGUGAUAAGUAUCCCACCUGGGGAGUACGGUCGCAAGACUGAAACUCAAAGGAAUUGACGGGGGCCCGCACAAGCGGUGGAGCAUGUGGUUUAAUUCGAUGAUACGCGAGGAACCUUACCAGGGCUUAAAUGUAAGUUGCAUGAUUUAGAGAUAGAUCUUUCUUCGGACUACUUACAAGGUGCUGCAUGGUUGUCGUCAGCUCGUGCCGUGAGGUGUCAGGUUAAGUCCUAUAACGAGCGCAACCCCUAUCGUUAGUUGCCAGCGGAUAAUGCCGGGUACUCUAACGAGACUGCCAGUGCAAACUGUGAGGAAGGUGGGGAUGACGUCAAAUCAUCACGGCCCUUACGUCCUGGGCUACACACGUGCUACAAUGGCCGGUACAGAGAGCAGCCACUCCGCGAGGAGGAGCGAAUCUUCAAAGCCGGUCUCAGUUCGGAUCGCAGUCUGCAACUCGACUGCGUGAAGCUGGAAUCGCUAGUAAUCGGAUAUCAGCCAUGAUCCGGUGAAUACGUUCCCGGGCCUUGUACACACCGCC
rnacentral:rRNA from 1 species